rnacentral:rRNA from 1 species
GUCUACGGCCAUACAAACCUGAACGUGCCCAUUCUCGUCUGAUCUCAGAUGCUAAGCAGGGUAGGGCCUGAUUAGUACUUGGAUGGGAGGUAUGUUUCUUAUAUGCAGCAGAAGGAUGGAUACUGUCCUCG